rnacentral:lncRNA from 1 species
UGAAGAUCAUUUAAUUUUGAACAUGAAAUAUUAUUGAUUUAUUUGUCUAUCUCUUCAUUUAUUGCUUCUCAGGAACAAAGUCAUGGGAUCACAGGAGAUGUGGGAGCUCAGUGCUCCGUGGUCCAGAGAGCAAGUGGGAUGGUGGGAAUUAUUAGAGAAGAAAUAGAGGAAAACCACAAAAGACUUCUUGAUACCACUCUAAACCCAUCCCAUAUCUGUGUGAGUACUCUGGGCCUCAAAACCACGUGUUAAACCAGCAAAAGCUGGAGGGAAGGGCAGAAAAUGCUGAGAUGUGGCAGAAGUGGUGACUGUGCACCUUCCCCAAAAGGCCCCCAAGUCAUUUAAAGAUGUAACUUUGGUGCUGUUCCUUUGCUGAUUCAAAUGAUCUUCUGAGGUUGCUCACAGAGCAAAACCUCCCUGCAGGAUCUGUUUUGUAAAUCUGCCAAAAGGUGAAGACAGCCACUUUAUCUGCGAGGGAAUAUUCAUUUAUGGGGCUUCAGUGGCGACAUAGAUUUGAAAAAAGGAAAAGAGUCUUAAAUCCUUCCUCAGGAGAGAGAUUUCCUUCCAGUUUUAUUCAGUGGGAUUGCUUUGAGUCUGUGAGUUCUCAGCUCAUGAAGAACUUCCUGGCUGGGGGGAUGAAGACAUUAAAGCCUUUGCCCACUCAGGGCAAUUGCUCUGGAGACAAACACAGCUCAGAAAACAAAUGUUCUGAGCUACCUGGGAGUUCUGGUUCACUGAACACAUGAAGAGCCAGAGAUCCUUCUGAACCUGCAAGUAAAAUUUAUUCUCAAGGACAAACCCCAACAUUUAUCUUAUUUUGAGAGAAUUUCCCACAAACCAGAAUAUCUACGGUUCUAGCAAGAAAAAAAAGGGAA